rnacentral:lncRNA from 1 species
CUCAAGCAGGCACUGAAAAGAACGAAUUUAAGCAAUCUAUUUUGACUCACAACAGACUUACAAUAUUUUGUUGACACUUGACAUGUUUAUUCUUUUAGCAAAAUUAUAAUCAUGUUUUAAUAUUUCCUGCAUGCAAUUAGCAGCUUUAUUCAAGAGACAACGAUGGCAUAUGAGUCCAGAAGAUAAGACCAACUAUGGCUUUCUGAAAUGAGUUGCUCCUGUCUCAGAAGGCUAUGUGUUACAGAUGUGAAAGGAUAAAUUCACCCCUGUGGUUGAUAUUUAUGGGAAUGCAAGGUGACAGCUGGAAUCUCAAAGACCUCCUGGAGCCUCACAGGGUGUUGCCAAUCAUCUUGGAAAUGGAGCCAACCUUGCCCUUCGGGGCCUUUAUGCCAAACAAGCCUACAUUGUCUGCAUCAAAAGGACAGAAGAUUACAGAAUAAAAACAGAAAAAGGAGAAGAAGAUUUAUGGUGUCACAAUUACUGGCCAUGACCAGACUCUCUGGAAGGAAACAGAGAUUCCCUGGACAGUGAAGAGAUCCCACCAGGUAUCUCCUGGGGCAGUAGAAUUUAGC